rnacentral:rRNA from 1 species
CCUCUUGAAUCAAAUAUAAGAGGUCCAGCCUGCCCAGUGACUCUUGUUCAACGGCCGCGGUAUCCUAACCGUGCGAAGGUAGCGUAAUCACUUGUCCUUUAAAUGAGGACUAGUAUGAACGGCACCACGAAGGUUUUACUGUCUCCUUUUUCCAAUCAGUGAAACUAAUCUCCCCGUGAAGAAGCGGGAAUAAGCCUAUAAGACGAGAAGACCCUAUGGAGCUUUAAACCACGUAACACUUGCACCAACUCUAUAAAUUUCCGAUAAAACCUAUCUUAUCAAUGCAAGAUUAUUACCAGUUUUAGGUUGGGGUGACCGCGGAGCAAAAAACAGCCUCCACAUUGAAGGGACUAAUUAUCCUGAGCAAAGAACAACACCUCCAUGCACCAUUACAAUGACAUCAAUUGAUCCAAUAUUUUGAUCAACGAACCAAGUUACCCUAGGGAUAACAGCGCAAUCCACUUCAAGAGCUCCUAUCGACAAGUGGGUUUACGACCUCGAUGUUGGAUCAGGGUAUCCCGGUGGUGCAGCCGCUAUCAAAGGUUCGUUUGUUCAACGAUUAAAACCCUA